GCGGGGUUGGUGUAGUUGGUUAUCACGUCAGUCUAACAGAGAAUUUCUGAAGUUUGAAGAGCACUGAAGGUCGCGAGUUCAAGUCUCGCAUCCCGUA